UGUUAAAGGCGCUGAGAAGUCCUGCAUCAUAGAAUCAGGUUUGACUCUAUACGUUCUAGUUUGCUUUUCUGUUGUGACAGACACUGUGACCAAACCAGCUUGGAAAGGGUUUGACUUUGCUUCCAGGUCAUAGUUCAUCACCGAGGGAGCAGUCAGGGCGGGAGUUCAAGCUACAGGCAAACCAGAAAGGAUGGGGGGAUGCUGCUUACAGGCUUGCUCUCUCUAUCCCAAGACAUCGUUCUGAACUGUUUUAGAAUGUUCUCAGUCAACUGCCACCUAGAAAUGUUUGAUGCCACCCUUGGCAGAUCAGGCACGGCAUGGUCAGUACCAUACACCCAGGCUUCUGCUUCACACUGUAAAGAUGGCAACGGUUCUGCAACACAGACAGUCAGGAUGUCUCCUGGGAGGAAGAAGAGCCUACAGAGGGGCGACUUCUAAGACAUCGAGGGGAAAAAGAACAGAGAAAAGGUGUUAUCCCAGAGCAAAAACCUGCCUGCGAAAACUCUCCAAGACCCUGUGUCUCGGGCAUUAAACUAUUAGAACCGUCAAGUGUCUCCAGAGGAACUUAAUGCGCCUUAAAAACACGCGAGAAAAGCAAAGGAAGACAGCGCUGUGUUUGUGGCAGGAUCUCCAACUAGCAGGGGCUGGCUGAAGAUUUUUAGCUCCACAAAGGGUGGCGAGGUAACCUUGGGUAAAGCCUCUCUGCCUCUGGUCUCUCUGGUCCCUCUGGUCCAUCCACCAUCCCUUCUUUCCCCUGGCCCCUUCCUUCUCCUAAACCUACCUAGAAAGUGAGUUAAGCUGCGCUCUGGAGCCGAUCAAGGUCACCUGCCUUCCCGGGUCCUGCAGGUCCCCAGAGGCCGUGCCACACUCUGCCUCGCGCCUGCCAAUUAGGCGCUAAUUUGAUUUCUACUCUAUCCGUGCGAACCCCCAUUAAACGCA
rnacentral:lncRNA from 1 species